CUACUUCGGACUAACUGGAAAAUAACUGCUGAAUCGUUCAGAUCAUUUCAGGUCACCAACAAGCCUAAUGUUUUUUGGAUACUGCAGUCCAGAUCACCGUUCAAAGUUGAUUUCAAAGUAGUUAGGGGCCUGCAGCAACAUUUCAUAAUAUAUUUUUCAAAAAUUUUGUGAGAGUUCUUAGUUUUAAUUGCCGCUCAAAUCCAAUUUACAUAAAAGUCAACAUAUUCCAAAGCUUUCACAACUGUCACUUAGCUAGUCAAAGCUAACAACUGUUAUAAUUUAUAGACUAAAUUAGUUGCAUUCGAAUUCUCUUUAGCGUUGACGCUUGACAUGUGACACGUCAGUUGUGUUUGCUGUCAACUUGAAGCUUUUACUAGCAAAUGGGUAUGAGGUUGAGGUGAUAGAAAAUUAAACAAGUUCGUGAAUUCGAAUAAGUGCUUUGAAGGGUUGCGCGCAUAGAAACAAACAUUUUUCGUUUACUUCAUCUCUCAAUAUUUCGCGGCAAUUUUCCAAAUAGAGGUAUGGAUAACAUAAUGGCACGCGUAUUGGCGUAAAUAUCUGCAACAAAAGAGUUUAUUACAUCUUUCGUCACUAAGUAAUAAAAACGUACUGAUUGGGUCUAAAUUUCUUAUUAAAUUAGUCAAAGUCUAAAACACAGAGAACUGCGGGACAGUUUGCAUGAUUGCAACAAUAAAAACACAAGAGUAAAGCCAGCGUAUUGAAAAAAACAAUAUUUUGAAGCUAAUUCUCAAAAAUAUUUUUAUAGUGUAUUCAAAGAAUGCGCCCAAUAUACGCUCAGAUUCGAAGAGAGAACAAAAAUCUAUAUUUAUAAAUCUCUAGAGCCAGCGACAUCAACGAAAAUAUUUUGAAGUCAGCUCUUAAAGAUCGCUCUAAAUUAUCUUAAUACAAAGCACCCAAUUGACGCUCAACACCAAGCACUCGGUUUUACCACAAUUAUUAUAAUUUUUGUUGUUUUGUUGUAAGUAAACGUCAAUCAAAGCGGAAAUUGUCCAGCGCACACGCAUCCUUGCAGGCUCGCCAAGCAGCCGCACAUAACCACCAAAACAAAUUUACAUGAAUUAACAGUACUUACAUGGCUAGUAUGCGUAUAGUGUUCUCAUGUGCAAGUGUAUGUGUGUGCUCCGGCUGCAGGAUGUUGCAAAUGCGUUCGAGCACAACAAUUGGCUGUCAUACACGCGCGCCGUGACAGCUGACAACGGGCGAUGGGGAAGUAAGGAAGCAUAGGCACAUGAAAGAAACCGGAAACUCAAUUAGUCGUGCAACUCAAUUCGACCGCUCACUCGUCCGGAUGCUCCCGACAAGCUCCCUUAAGUGUAGUUUAUGUAAUAAAUAAUAAUAUUUUGUUCUGUGCCGAUUUACGUUUCCAUUUUACUUUUACGACUGCAGACGCCUGCUGAGGGCAAUACAAACACACGACGCUUAUGGUGUACACUUCCUUUCACACACACACACAAUACAAUAAAAUAUAUCGUUGUACACUUACGAUUACAAAUAAUUGUCAUUUAUCUUCUAGAUUUAAUUUCGUUUUUCUACUUUUCAUUUUCGUGCGUGUAAGCAAUGCAAGCGUAGUGCGUAAGUGUUUUUGUUUGACUAGAAAUUCACUUAAAGUGUCAAAGUUUAAGUAUUUCCGAAUAUGCAACAACAAAAAGCAUUAAACGCAAGAGAGUUUAAGUAAAUAUUGCACAAUAUUUUUGAAUUAAUCAAUUGCUUACAAGUGUAAUUGCUAAAUAACGGUGAAUUGUGGCAUGAAUGAAUGUGUGAAAUUAACUGUACUGGAGGAAUAAGUGAAAAGCGGAAAAUGCGAAAGUAAAUAUCAAUAAGUCUAACCUCAAAAGCGGUUAAAACAAAAUAAAAUAUGUAUCUGACAGACAACAACAAUUCAUAUACAGCAUACCCAAGUAUCAAAAAGUGUACAUAUAAAUAUAUAUAUAGCGUAAAAAUCAGAUCAGAACUUACAAUAUUUACCAAAUAUCACGAAAAAAUCAAUUUAAGACUCUCGCCGUUGAGCAAAUAACCCAAAAAAAGAAAUCCAGCACUUACAAAAACAAUAAUUAUUAGUAAAUAUGUAAAAAUAUGCCCUCUACUAUACACACACACAUAUUGAUGAGUAUAAAUUUCGAAUCGGUGCACAAUUCUAAUUGCAUAAUUACAAUAAUUGAAGUCAUUUAAUUAAAGCAUGUUUAUUGUGCCUAUCUACUACUCUGCUCCCCGCUUCUCCGCGCUCAAUUAUACAUAUGUAUGUAUUUCAACUAAAAAUGCAGCAACAAAAAGUAAUUACCAACAAGUAAUAGGAAAUAACUGUGAGUUGGCGUUUAGCGCCAAAGCUUUUCGUUUUAACUACACUUAAUUAAGAAGAGGAAGAAGAAGAAGAAGAAAAAAUAAAAAUAAAAUGAAACUUACGGAGUUUAUAUUUAAAGCAAAAGACGUUAAACUUCGUACCCAAAUCGCGCAAAUACACACAUACUUGCAUAGAUGUAUACACUCACACACAUACAUACGGGAAUCUUUGUUAAGCAUACUAAAUAUAUAGUCUAACAUGUCGUUGCAAACAAUGAAAUAAUUACUUUUUGCAAAAAUUGUUCGUAUUUCACAAAUGUCAUAUACAGUGCACGCGUAAGUGUUAGGUCAGUAAUUUUCCUAAGUCACACACACACACGCACACACAUGUACAGCGUGAAUUCACUCAAAUAACUUUGUAGUGAAGUAUUUUUGUUGCAAUUUUCGAUAUUUUUUUCGUUUGUUCUUCUAUAAACUAGUUAAUAUACUACUUAAUACAGUGUAAUUCAAAAUGUAUAUGCAGUAAUAGGUUUAAAAAGCUAAUUUUUAGAAAAUGUAAUUUUUAAGCAUAUUUGACUACUUUACUAAAGUUUGAACAACAUUUGACAGCGCGAACAUUUUUUUAUUGUUUUUGUAAAAUUGCUAUUUUUUGAAUCGAACCAAGUUGACAUUGUGAAAAAAUUUUGUAAAUUUCAUUUUAUUGAUAAAUUUUUCUUUGUAAAAUUUCACCUUCCUUAAAUUGAAAUUAUUUCGCAAAUAUUAUUUUUUAAUACUCACAUUUUAAUUGAAUUCAGAUUGUUAAUUGUUUAAUGAUAAAAAUAGCCAUACUUUGACACUCGUCGAUUAUACUGUGACAGCUGUCAUAGUAGUUUUUUUAUAACAAUUUUUAUUAUAAAAAAAUUUAAUUUCACACUAAAAUAUUACAGCAAAUUUUUCAAAUUUCACUCCAAAAAAUGCAAAAAUUAUUUUUUGAACGUUCUAGUCCUAUGUAAUGUAUAAUAAUACAAUAUAAUAAAAGUACAUAUAAAAAAUAUAAAAAAUAAAGGCACAAAUUUUGCGGAAAAUAAUACGGCAAAAAGGUUUUUUUUUAAGUGUCAUAUAUAUAUUUAAGCUAGUCCUAAAACCAGUUUUCUACGUAUAAUGGUGAGUUUUACUAAGUUUGGUUUAUUUUUGGGUCGAAAUUCCUUAUUAUGGCCCACUGUUCCCUUAAAAUUUUAUGCGAACAUUUUUUAUUAUGGCCCACUGUGCCUUUAAAUUUUUAUGCUAAAAAUGUUUAUUUCUAUCACUAUAUGUGACCUGGUCUACGAAAAGGGAGCUAACGUGCGAAAACUAGUUUUCUGGGAAGCAGCUGUUAAAAAUAAACAACUCGUUUCGUCAGUUUCUCGUUAUCUCAUUAAUUUUGACACCUAAGCCCCCUUUCCGUAGACCAGGUCACAUAUAUAUUUAUAUAUUCACUUUUUUUGGAGGAAAUUCUUUAUUAAGACACACUUUGCUUUUUUAUUUUGAGUUUUUUAUUGCAUUUCUUUUAUUAUAUAUACUUGUAUUUACUGCUGGCAUAUGUUGUCCAAACCUUAGCUUGCACCCAAUUUCUCUAAGUAAAAUGUAAGAAAAAAUUUAAAAAAAAUCAAAAAAAAAUAAAA